rnacentral:rRNA from 1 species
GACGGAGGGUGCAAGCGUUGUUCGGAAUUACUGGGCGUAAAGCGCGGGCAGGUGGCCUUUUAAGUCCUUUGUGAAAUCCCGGAGCUCAACUCCGGAUGUGCAUAGGAUACUGGAAGGCUAGAGACUGGUAGAGGCGAGCGGAAUUCCUGGUGUAGCGGUGGAAUGCGUAGAUAUCAGGAAGAACACCGGUGGCGAAGGCGGCUCUCUAGUACGGUACUGACGCUGAGACGCGAAAGCGUGGGGAGCGAACAGG